CCCGCGGCUCCUUCCUCCCCUCCUCUCCCUCCCGAGCGGUCGUACCCGGCGGUGUCGGCCCGUGAAUCGCGGCCGUGCGCCGGGCGUCGUACCGCCGGAUCGCGGCACAUCGUUGAGUCGGGGGGUUUGUGCGAUGCGCGGGCCUCAUUGGCACGGAGGAAAGGAGAGGAGGGGGGAAAAAAAGGAAAAAAAGAAAAAAAAAAGAAUAUUUAAAAUAAAAUAAAAAAAAGAGGAAGGAAAGGAGUAGGGUGACGGCAGCGGUUCUUUGUUCGCCUCCCGGAGCUCCGGGCCGGGAACGGGAUUUUCGCAGGCGAAUGUCAGCCAAGGAGAGGGACCGUGCACAUCUCUGAGUGGUGUUUGGUGCCCAGGUUUGGGUGGUCACAAAGGGCUGCAGUUCGGCUUCGCUCUGUGCGCUCUUAGGGGACGGCCUCGGCGGCGUGCCGGGGGAGAGGGGCCGAGGCUGGGCCGGGGCAGCGCUCGGCUGCGCGGACUCUGCCAAAUGCGCCCGUUCUGCGGAGUUAUUGUGGGAGAAAAGUGAGGCCGUGGUCAGCCCCCCUCCUCCUCCUCCUCCCCCCCUCCCCCCCCCCACCCCUCCGCCCCCAACUGAGUCUUCUGAAUGUAUUUGGGAACGUCAGAGAUAACCGGGAUAGGUGAGAGCUGAGGGCGCUGCGUUCGGGCUCGUAUCGUUGCACGUGUAAAUAGUGAAAAUAUUGUUGUGUAUCUCCACAUCUCCUAAUGCACCCAGUAAUUAUUUUCACUCGUAAUAUCAGCGUUCUCUGCGUGGAACUGAGCCGGUACCGUUUUCCUCCUCCUCCCUUCCUCUUCAUCAUCAUUUUUUCCUCCCCUCUAAAGCCAACGUCCCACAAAGUUCCCAUCGCUCAGCGCGGGCCAUCCCGAGUGGGAAUCACUUCAUGCUCCUCAUUCCCACCCCCCCACCCCCCAACUCCGUCCCCUCAGGUGCGUUGCAGCCGCCGGCCGCGCGUGUUCGGAGCCGAGCAAAGGGCUCCGCGUUGGUUUCGGAGCGGCGGUUCCCAUUGGAAUGAGCCCGAAAGAGCCCUCGUGUUCCGUGCCUCGUGUGUGCGCACCGCGGUGCUCGUCACCUGCUCUGUGCGAAUGGUUUCACAUGGAGACUAAUCGGUUCCGGUACGAAAAGCGGUACGUGCCGUUUGUUAUUCUAUCGAGAAGCGUCAUAUCUCAAAUGAUUUUAACGGCUCGAUUUUUUUUUCCCCCUUAAAUUAUAUAUUUGUAAAACAUUUAUCCCGUCGAAAGCAACAACGUCUUGCUGUAUUUAUUCGUUUAUUUUUGUAAUAAAUGACCGACACCUCCAAGCCGCUGCUGCUGUGUACAUCUGUGCAGGUGCGCACGCAUCGCUCCCCGUUUGCGCGGGGCUGUGGCUGCGGGCGGGGGCCCUCCGUCCUCUCCGUGUCUCAGACUCAACGGGACGCAACAAGUGGCGGCCCCGGGUGUGGGUUCGGGGCAGGGAGAGCAGCGCGGGGCGGAUGGCAGAGCCGCAGCUCCGGCUCCCCGCGCGGUAAUUUCAGUUGCGCUUUGGAAUAAUGGAGAGGGCGCAGGUUUCAACGAGAGGCUCGAGAAAGGCGAAAAGAAAGGCAGCGAGCGACCCCGCGGUGUCAAUGACACAGCAGUAGGGAGCUCCUUUUUGGCCGAGACUCUUUGGCGAGACAAAAAAAAAAAAAAAAAAAAAAAAGCGGAGGGGUGACCGCCGGCCGCUCUCCGAGCGAGCAGCGGGACCGCGCUCCGGGGGCCGGAG
ensembl:lncRNA